GAGCCCAGCUGAGAAGGAACAGACAAGGCUAUGAUACAGCUGGGAAGUUAGCAGCAGGAGGAAGCCUGCAGUCACUUUCCUGGUGCUGGAGUGAAAGGAGGAAACUCAGUGGGGGAGGAGAAGUCCUGGGAUCUUGGCCCUGAGGGAAGGGCAUAUCUGGAGGAGAAAAGUAGGGAGCAUAGGGAAAUGGCAGCAGGGUCUGGGAGAAAGUGAACUGUGGUUGCUGGACUGAGUGUCCUUGUGCUGAACUUGGAGGAGUGGGCCGGCAGACCUGCAUUCCCCUGCCAGCUGCUGGGGAAGUGGUACAGUCAGGGCAGUGGAAUUGGACAAAGCUUGGUACUCUAGAAGGGGGAAAACAUGCAAAGUGACCUGGCUGGAGGGCCAAGACAUGAAGUGGGAGCAUGCUGAGCUCUACAGAGCAAGAGGACAGAAAGGGGUGCUAGACCAAGUAAGUGCUGAUCCUCAGAGCAGCUACAAGAAGGUCCCACUUCAGGUAUCAAAACUUCUUAGCCCUCUGGUUGUGUAAAAAGCCACUCAGAUGUGAACUAAUCAUGGGCUUCUGAAUCUACAAACUUCCAGCCUCCAUCAUGUGGAUGACCUACUCCACUCAUCUAAGGCUACAUCUACAUUGGAGCUAGGGGUGUGAUGUGAUUCCCAGCUUGCAUAGAUAGGGACUUUCUCUAAUAUUAAGACAAAUGUGAGGAGGUCCUGUACAACUCCCAUGGAUUUCCUUGAUCCAUUGUUCACUCCCUGCUCAGUGUUAGGACUCCAGGUGGGGCUCUUUAACCCUGUGCAUACAGCUGGGCUGCUGUGAAAUUCACCUCUACUGGAGAUCAUCUCUUUCAUAAAGUUGCAAAACGACCCCAGCUGCCUGCUUUGGGAAACUAACCACCUAGAUUUGGGGAAAUGGGGAUCAGAUGAUGAUGAUUUCUCAUACAUGAGGAUGUUUAUAAGUAAAUAUAUGUAAUGAAUAUUAUGGAAAUGUGUAAUAUGACAACCUGCUGUGUGGGUGUCUUGGAUAUAUAUGGUGUAGAAUAAUACAAUAAUUUAUUGACUGUGGGAGCUCCUCUCUGUUUGAUUUGUAUUUAUUACCCUUUAAACAGGACAUCCAUCAAAAAUGUAUUUUUAGUCAAAUCUGGCAUUUCUCCCACUUUGUGAAUCAUGGUAUGGGUGUUGUCACUGGCCAUUGAUAUCUGGCCUCUUGUGGGGCACAGCACAUGGGGGUAAAUUAAGUUCUAUGAAGUACAAAGUUGCGCUGAGAGCUGCAGGGGGUGGACUUCCUGAUUCAUGGGUUUGGGUCAUUGAAAGCCUCUGGUUUGUCAGGGGCAGACAACCACAGCAUGGUAGAGUCCAUUAACUUAAUAAUUAGGAGGUCCAGUUAUUUUGUGGCCCCCUCUUAGAACAUACUAUGGAUUAUUAAAAUAACUUCAUCGGCAUAGUCCUAAAAAUAACACAAUAAUUUGGCUGCUGCAUGGAUAGUCUGCUGAUUUUCUGCCCCAAUUACAACAGGAAGUCUUUAAGCAAAGAGUGAACUACUGGCAACUGUGUAAAUAUAAGGAGACAUUUCUUUGUAAAUAUUUAAUUAAACAUUAAAAUAACCUUUCAAAUUUUGUAUAAUAAAUGGUUCAGCAAA